rnacentral:rRNA from 1 species
GACGAACGCUGGCGGCGCGCUUAACACAUGCAAGUCGAGCGAGAACCAUGGCUUCGGCCAUGGGGACAGCGGCGAACGGGUGAGUAACACGUGGGUAAUCUGCCCUCGGCACUGGGAUGGCCCGGGGAAACCCGGAUUAAUACCGGAUAGCCUUUCGAGCUCUUGGGCUCGUCAGAAAAGGAAGCUUCGGCCUCCGCAUUGGGAUCGGCCCGCGGCCCAUUAGCUUGUUGGUGAGGUAAUGGCUCACCAAGGCUGCGAUGGGUAGCUGGUCUGAGAGGACGAUCAGCCACACUGGGACUGAGACACGGCCCAGACUCCUACGGGAGGCAGCAGUGGGGAAUCUUGCGCAAUGCGCGAAAGCGUGACGCAGCAACGCCGCGUGGGGGAAGAAGGCCUUCGGGUUGUGAACCCCUUUCAGGAGGGACGAAGCCCCGGCCGUUAAUAGCGGACCGGGGUGACAGUACCUCCAGAAGAAGCCCCGGCUAACUACGUGCCAGCCGCCGCAGUAACAC